rnacentral:rRNA from 1 species
GUGGGGAAUUUUGGACAAUGGGCGCAAGCCUGAUCCAGCAAUGCCGCGUGCAGGAAGAAGGCCUUCGGGUUGUAAACUGCUUUUGUACGGAACGAAACGGUCCGGGUUAAUACCCUGGGCUAAUGACGGUACCGUAAGAAUAAGCACCGGCUAACUACGUGCCAGCAGCCGCGGUAAUACGUAGGGUGCAAGCGUUAAUCGGAAUUACUGGGCGUAAAGCGUGCGCAGGCGGUUUUGUAAGACCGGCGUGAAAUCCCCGGGCUCAACCUGGGAAUUGCGCUUGUGACUGCAAGGCUGGAGUGCGGCAGAGGGGGAUGGAAUUCCGCGUGUAGCAGUGAAAUGCGUAGAUAUGCGGAGGAACACCGAUGGCGAAGGCAAUCCCCUGGGCCUGCACUGACGCUCAUGCACGAAAGCGUGGGGAGCAAACAGGAUUAGAAACCCGUGUAGUCC